AUUGGCCAUGCAAUGAGUUCUGCCUAGCAACAAGAGAACUAAUGCGCUGAUUAGUCCUUUUGCCCUCGUCUGUUCUGUUGCUGACACCAAGUUUGAAGACGGACGUUUUUCUUCUAUGUUCGGUUUGCAUGGAGUUCAACAGAAUUACGGGCAAAAAUCUAAAGCAGGAAUUCUACGAAAACCUUGACAGACACAGUUCACGGUUCAUGGACCUUUUUAAAACCAAAAGGGGGGCUCCUGGUCAGCGCUUGUGGAACUUUUACAGCAAAUAAAGUCAGCCCAGCCAACAGAGGUCCGAACCCUUGUUCUUCGAGGACUGCCUAUCAUGCUCGGAGAUGAUGACUCGUCUUUCUUCAAGACAUGUUUAGUGUCUGAUCAUCGCCUCACUAUCCUUGAUGUGCCAGUGGGGAUUUUAUUGGAGGACACCGAUCUUCAGCCCUCCAGCUCUUUGCAUUUGACUUCUUCAAUCGGAAUAAUUCUUGAAGGCCAAGUUCUGAUGGACAAAGUGCAGGACCUCCCACAGGCAAUUUGUCUUCUCUUCAGUCUGAUUUACGCACUAGACCUAAAUUACCCAAAAUCACUCGCCAACACGUUUGAUUUCAUCCAGCGUGUACUAAUGUCAAUGGGACAGAAUACUCUCAAGCCUAGAGUGCAGUCUCUGGCAAACCAACAUUUUGCUUAAGAAACGUCACUGUGAUAUUUUAACACCAUUCUUUGUUUUGGGUUUUUUUUCCCCACCUUGAUUUCUUGAUCUCCAUUAUUCAUUUUAUGAAGAAUAAAAAGCAUGUUUAAAUUGUAAAAUGCAGAGUUCUACAACUGAUGUUCAGUAGUUCAUUUGGGAUAUUGUUACACCUCUGUAGUGUGGUUGUGACACAGUAAUAUUUCCACUACAGUAUAGUUUGUACUGUAAUACUGUGAAAUUUUGGUGAAAGACACUAUAUGUUGACUGUUUUAUUUUAGUUUGCUAUGUUUGCACAAAGCUUAAAUGGUCAAAUGUAAUAGUUAUGUUUACAUUAACAUAAUACUUGAUACUUGAGUGAAGUAUAUAUGUGCAUAGAGUUGUACAAUUGAUGUACUGCACUAGUUAUUUUUUUUUUUUUUUUUACCACCUUUAA